rnacentral:rRNA from 1 species
UGGGGAAUAUUGCACAAUUGGCGCAAGCCUGAUGCAGCCAUGCCGCGUGUGUGAAGAAGGCCUUCGGGUUGUAAAGCACUUUCAGCGGGGAGGAAGGCUUUAAGGUUAAUAACCUUGGCGAUUGACGUUACCCGCAGAAGAAUCACCUGCUAACUCCGUGCCAGCAGCCGCGGUAAUACGGAGGGUGCAAGCGUUAAUCGGAAUUACUGGUCGUAAAUCGCACGCAGGCGGUUUGUUAAGUCAGAUGUGAAAUCCCCGGGCUCAACCUGGGAACUGCAUCUGAUACUGGCAAGCUUGAGUCUCGUAGAGGGGGGUAGAAUUCCGGGUGAAGCGGUGAAAUGCGUAGAGAUCUGGAGGAAUACCGGUGGCGAAGGCGGCCCCCUGGACGAAGACUGACGCUCAGGUGCGAAAGCGUGGGGAGCAAACAGG